rnacentral:tRNA from 1 species
UGGCUCAGUUGGUUGAGCGUCUGACUUCAGCUCAGGUCAUGAUCUCAUAGUUUGUGGGUUCGAGCCCCAC